UACGUAGGGCGCAAGCGUUGUCCGGAAUCAUUGGGCGUAAAGAGCCUCGUGAGCGGCCUGUUGCGUCCGCUGUGAAAUCCCGGGGCUUAACCCCGGGCGUGCAGUGGAUACGGGCUGGCUGGAGGCAGGCAGGGGAGAACGGAAUUCCCGGUGUAGCGGUGAAAUGCGUAGAUAUCAGUCGGAACACCGGUGGCGAAGGCGGCUUCUUGGGCCCUACCUGACGCUGAGGCGCGAAAGCCAGGGGAGCGAACGGG
rnacentral:rRNA from 1 species